CCUUACCUGGUAGUUACCUCCACCAUUUUCUAGCCCAUGUCUCCAAAACUCAACCUCCUACAAACCUGAGUAGUGCUCUAAAGUCAGUUGAGGAGGUAUUAUUAUAUAAUGUACCUUAGAAGCAAUAGUUCAUAUCUUUAAAUCUAAUGUUAUUCAAGGGUUCGGCUUUUGGAAGGGGAAAAAUAGGAGAAUCAAAUACACUCUGUUUGGGAAGGAACAAAUCCGAUGUAUCUUCAGGUAUCGCUUGGGAAUAUGCAUCAAUUUAGCCAAGCAGAACAGAGCAAACACUAUGGCAGAUAGCAAUGACAUUGUGGACCAGAUGGAUCAGAGGUUGGCAACUAUGAGGAGAUGGAUGAAUGAUGAUGAUGUUGAAGAGUAGUUAAGAGGAAAAAGCUGAUGAUGAUCGUGGUAAAGAAAAGCAUGUUGGGCUGCUUACUUUGCCACCACAUGGUUCUGAGAUUUUCAUUGGGGGGCUUUCUAAGGAUGUGGUUGAGGAAGAUUUGAGUGAAGUUUGUGAACCUUUUGGGGAUGUUGUUUAGGUAAGUUUGGUGAGAUAUAUGGAGACCAAUGAAGGUAAGGGUUUUGCAUUUGUGGCAUUUAGAAGUAAAGAUGAUGUUCAAAAGGCCAUUGAAGAACUACAUAACAAAGAUUUUAAGGUGUGGAUCAUACAUAGCCAAUCAAGGGAAAAAGAGGCUUUGUAAGAAAAAAUGUUGUUGCUUGAGGCCUUACAUAAUUAUGCAUUUUCAUCCGUAUACAGUCCCCCUAUUACACGAUCCCUAGCCCAGAUCUUAGCAACAACAUUUACAAUGAACUUCCAUACAGGCUGCCUUUAAAUCUAACACACUUGUCGUUUUAUGUUGGUGCUGCUGGUGGAAGAGUAUCAUAGUAAUGCGGACGAGAAGUUUGCAGAGGUAGUAUGCAUAUAUCAUUUUGUGCUUCAUGUUUGUUUAUACUACUAAACAGGAGCAAUUGUAAUUUGAUUUUCAUUUAUAGUUUUUUAAUUGGGUAUUUGUUAAAUUAGCCCUUUUUGUUCCACGCAACUGGUUUGAAGUUUUUUCUUCUGCUUGAGCUUAUAACAAGCACAAGCCUAAGUUUUUUGUUAUUUUGAUUUGCUCUGGAGCUGUAAUUUAGUAAGUUUAACCAUUUGGCCCCUUCCCUACGCAACAUCUGAUCCUCUAAGACAAUUGCGCCAUCACGGCACUGCUUGUAUCAGUCAAUAUAUGGUCACGUAAAGACUAGCUUAAUGCCAUCCAAUUGAUUGAAAUUACCUCAAACCUUGCUUUUUCGGAUUUUUAGGCAUAUUAUACGUGUAAAUAUUACAUUUUGAUGAAAC